CUCUAGGGAGAGAAGCCACAUGUAAAUGGGGAAAGCUCUGGCUGGCAGAGCGAGGGGGAACAGGCGAAGGGGGAGCCAGGUCUCUUGAGGAGGCCAGCAACGCGCGUGCGGGUCGAAUGCGGGUUCCCGACGCAAGACGCCCGGAAACCUGCUCCCCAGUGAGAACAAAGGCAGGCGCCAAGCGAGAACCUGAUUGGUGCCGGGUCCUCACGGGUGUCCUCUGGGCCCCGGAGACAACUUGCUUCACCCACUGGCGCGGAGCUCCGUGCUCACUGGAGCCCAGGCUCCCCACCCGGCCUUGGCCGUGACCACACAGGACUGUGCGUUAUGACAUCACCUGUUUUCGCUCUUUAGAACAUGAUCUGUAGUCUCAGCUUCUCCUUUUUUAGAGGUCUCUAGUGUACCGGGAUUUGGGAAGGCCUGCAGUCCGCAGAAUGAAUCUGGAGAUGAUCCUGGUUAUUAUAAAGAGAAUGCGACUCAGAGGCUAAUUGACUUGUGAAUCCUGGAUCACACUUUCAAGAGGGAAGAAAACAAAAGUCACUUCUUCAGAUUUCGCACAGAACAAGGAGAAACUCCCUUUUGUUGUGUGGUUCUGAAGGACGCGGAGCAGGCCAUGUUACUACAGACGAAGAAAAGAAUGUCUACGGCGAAGAGGACACCUGAGAGGUCGCACGCUUAGUGGGAUCAUGGUAGAAGUUCAAAACAUCAACCUGAGAAAAACACAGUGGCUGAUAGGAGCUGCUCAUCUCAUUGAAAGUAAGCUGUUGUUUUCUGUGCUCUGAAGGUGGGGGAUUGCAGUAUCCGCGAUGUGACGUCCGUGAGUCUUUGCUAGGUUUGGAACUGAUGGCCCCAAGCCAGGGGGUAGCGUUUCUUCUUCCCAUACGCCGGGGAAACACUGAGAUUCCUUCAGCAAAAAUAACUUUUCUGCCAAUCUGUAUCACCGCUCAGAGAGGCAGCUGGUCACGUUAACCAAGAAAACUGAUAUUUAGUGGUGAAGAAGCUUGAUUAAACUUUCGCUUUAUCUUUUUAGAUUUUGAUGUGAUAAUAUGGAUAUAGGUGAUUUCCUCAUGCUACUGGGCACCUGCUUGGCAAUUGUUUUUGUUCCUGUUUGCCUGCUCCAUGAGAUUAUUGGCUUCAUGAGGACAGCUCUCCUCAUCAUUAUAUCCUCAAUAUUAUAAACAUUUUUUGAAGAGGUGAAUAAAGAAAGUCAAUGUUACAGGGGCGCCUGAGAGGCUAGUCGGUUAAGCGUCAGACUCUUGGUUUCCUCUCAGGUCACGAUCUCAUGGUUUCAUGAGUUCGAGCUCUGCGUCUGGCU